rnacentral:lncRNA from 10 species
ACCUCUUGGAUGUAUCUGUGUAUCCAUGUGUAUGUGAGUGUGUGUGUGCAGGGAUGAUGUUAAGCUGGUAUGUUCCUGCUACAGACAGUGUUGUGCUGGAACAGGCUUACAUAGGCUUUGCAAGAGCUGAUUGUUAAAUUUGCAGAAAAUAUGCAAGCCAACUGAUAUCACAUUGGUGGCUUGAAGCUGGCAGUGGUGGGAGUGUUUCUACCUCAGAAAUCAGCAUGCACUAUGACUCAGGGCUUCAUGAUUUUUGGGAGAGUCAGGUUUUUAGCACAUACUAGCCCACGACUGCUUACUGGGACACCAGCUGUUUGCACAGCCAUCCACAAUGAUUGGCUGCACUCUCCACUUUGGUCAUGCUCAUGUUGUAAGCACUGUACAAUAUUUUGAAUAGCAACUUCAUCACGUGUAGUCAAAUUAUAUCAUUGUAUUAUCUACAUUGUCUUCGGUAUAAUAACGGAAAAGCAGCAUAUACUAUCACAUCAUCCAUCAUCAAAAAACAAUUUUUUUGAGCAUGGGUUUGGACCUCAGGUACUCUGCUGAAUAAAUUCUGGGUGGCUCAACUGCUGGUGGAUCCCAAAUAGAUCAUUUGGGAAGGAAGAAACCAUGCCGGGCCUUAGAGAAAAACAAAAUGAGUCAGUUCUCUCUGCUGCCUUUGGCCAGACCAAACCCUGAAGUCAUACAGCAUGGGGGAGAUUUUCUAGUCAAAAAAGUCAUUUAUCUGUCCAAGCACAUCUGAAGAUAAAUGAUGAGAAGCUUCUGGGAACACUGAAUGUCAGGCCUCUGAGCCCAAGCCAAGCCAUCGCAUCCCCUGUGACUUGCACAUAUACGCCCAGAUGGCCUGAAGUAACUGAAGAAUCACAAAAGAAGUGAAAAGGCCCUGCCCCGCCUUAACUGAUGACAUUCCACCAUUGUGAUUUGUUCCUGCCCCACCUUAACUGAGUGAUUAACCCCAUGAGUUUCCUUCUCCUGGCUCAGAAGCUCCCCCACUGAGCACCUUGUGACCCCUGCCCCUGCCCACCAGAGAACAACCCCCUUUGACUGUAAUUUUCCAUUACCUUCCCAAAUCCUAUAAAAUGGCCCCACCCCUAUCUCCCUUCACUGACUCUCUUUUCGGACUCAGCCCGCCUGCACCCAGGUGAAAUAAACAGCCAUGUUGCUCACACAAAGCCUGUUUGGUGGUCUCUUCACACGGACGUGCAUGAAGUUUGGUGUCGUGACUCGGAUCGGGGGACCUCCCUUGGGAGAUCAAUCCCCCAUCCUCCUGCUCUUUGCUCUGUGAGAAAGAUCCACCUACGACCUCAGGUCCUCAGACCGACCAGCCCAAGAAACAUCUCACCAAUUUCAAAUCCGGUAAGCGGCCUCUUUUUACUCUCUUCUCCAGCUUCCCUCACUAUCCCUCAACCUCUUUCUCCUUUCAAUCUUGGCGCUACACUUCAAUCUCUCUCUUCUCUUAAUUUCAAUUCCUUUCAUUUUCUGGUAGAGACAAAAGAGACACGUUUUGUCCGUGGACCCAAAACUCUGGCGCCGGUCACGGACUGGGAAGGCAGCUUUCCCUUGGUGUUUAAUCAUUGCAGAGACGCCUCUGUGAUUAUACACCCACGUUUCAAGGGUGUCAAACCACGCAGGGACGCCUGCCUUGGUCCUUCACCCUUAGCGGCAAGUCCUGCUUUUCUGGGGAAGAGGCAAGUACCCCAACCCCUUCUCUCCUUGUCUCUACCCCUUCUCUGCCUUUCCUGGGGCAGGGGCAAGUACCCCUCAACCCCUUCUCCUUCACCCUUAGCGGCAAGUCCCGCUUCCCUAGGGGGCAAGAACCCCCCAGUCGCUUAUUUCCGCACCACAACCUCUUAUCUCUGUGCCCAAUCCCUUAUUUCCAUGCCCCAACCCCUUCUCUGCUUUUCUGGAGGGCAAGAACCCCCCACCCCUUCUCCGUGUCUCUACUCUUUUCUCUGGGCUUGCCCCUUCACUAUGGAUAAGCUUCCACCUUCCAUUCCUCCUCCUUCUCCCUUAGCCUGUGUUCUCAAAAACUUAAAACCUCUUCAACUCACACCUGACCUAAAACCUAAAUGCCUUAUUUUCUUCUGCAAUGCCGCUUGACCCCAAUACAAACUCGACAGUAGUUCCAAAUAGCCGGAAAAUGGCACUUUCAAUUUUUCCAUCCUACAAGAUUUAAAUAAUUCUUGUCGUAAAAUGGGCAAAUGGUCUGAGGUUCCUGACGUCCAGGCAUUCUUUUACACAUCAGUCCCUUCCUAGUCUCUGUGCCCAGUGAAACUCGUCCCAAAUCAUCCUUCUUUCCCUCCCGCCUGUCCCCUCAGUCCCAACCCCAAGCGUCGCUGAGUCUUUAUAAUCUUCCUUUUCUACAGACCCAUCUGACCUCUCCCCUCCUCGCCAGCCCAAGCUAGGUCCCAAUAAUUCCUCAGCCUCCGCUCCUCCACCCUGUAAUCUUUUUAUCACCUCCCCUCCUCACACCUGGUCCGACUUACAGUUUCAUUCUCUGACUAGCCCUCCCCCACCUGCCCAGCAAUUUACUCUUAAAAAGGUGGCUGGAGCCAAAGGCAUAGUCAGGGUUAAUGCUCCUUUUCCUUUAUCCCAAAUCAGAUAGCGUUUAGGCUCUUUUUCAUCAAAUAUAAAAACCCAGCCCAGUUCAUGGCUCGUUCCCCAGCAACCCUGAGACGCUUUACAGCCCUAGACCCUAAAAGGUCAAAAGGCCAUCUUAUUCUCAAUAUACAUUUUAUUACCCAAUCUGCUCCCGACAUUAAAUAAAACUCCAAAAAUUAAAUUCCGGCCCUCAAACCCCACAACAGGAUUUAAUUAACCUCGCCUUCAAGGUGUACAAUAAUAGAAAAAAGUUGCAAUUCCUUGCCUCCACUGUGAGACAAACCCCAGCCACAUCUCCAGCACACAAGAACUUCCAAACGCCUGAACCGCAGGGGCCAGGUGUUCCUCUAGAACCUCCUCCCCCAGGAGCUUGCUACAAGUGUCAGAAAUCUGACCACCAGGCCAAGGAAUGCCUGCAGCCCAGGAUUCCUCCUAAGCCUUGUCCCAUCUGUGCGGGACCCCACUGGAAAUCGGACUGUUCAACUCACCUGGCAGCCACUCCCAGAGCCCCUGGAACUCUGGCCUAAAGCUGUCUGACCGACUCCUUCUCGGCUUAGCGGCUGAAGACUGACGCUGCCCGAUCGCCUCGGAAGCCCCGUAGACCACCACAGAUGCCGAGCUUUGAGUAACUCUCACAGUGGAAGUGUCUUUGCAGAUAGAAUCAAGUAAAGAUGUGGUCAUACUGGUUCAAGAUGGGCCCUAAUCCAAUGACUGGUGUCCUUAUCAGAAGAGGGAAAUUUGGAUACAGACACAGGGAGAACACCAAGUGACUUUGGAAACAAAAAUUGGAAGGAUUCUUCUACAAGCCAAGGAACACCAAAGAUUGCAACCACUGGAAGAGCAAAAAUGAAUUCUUCCCUGGAAUUUUCAUAGAAAAUGACCCUGCCAAUACCUUAGUUUGGAACAGUUCUCAGCCUCUAGAACUGAGACAAUACAUUUCUGUGGUUUUAAGCCAUUCAAGUUUGUGGCAACUUGUUACAGCAGCCCGAGGAAACUAAUACAUCCCUCAAGACCAGCACCUCCCAUCUGAGUAGAAGGUAAAUCCAAUCUCUCUGUGGAUUGGGCCACUUUUUUGCUUCUUUUACUCAUACAGUUCACACUCAGUCCAUGAAGAUAUGUCACUGGCUCAAUGUUGAAAUACAUCCAGAAUCUCACAACUUCUCACCACUUCUAUAGCUGCCACUCAUUUCAGCCACAUCAACUCUCCCCUGAAUUGGAGCAAAAGGCUCCUAAUGGGUCUCCCUACCACCACCCGUAGCCCACCACGGUCCAUUUUCCACAAAACUGGGGAAAUGUGGCUUUAAAAACAUAUAUCAAAUUAUUUCACUUCUCACUCAACCAUUUUAUGACUGCAGAAUAAAAUCCAAACUCCACACUAUGGCUACUUUCCCUGACCUCAUCCUUCCUUGGAACUCUCAUCCUUCACUCUGCACCAGCCACAAGCCCCUCCCAUCUAAGCAGAGGCUGCCCAGAUAGCACCACUCCCUCAUCCUGUCUUUCAUUCUGCUUAUUUAUCUUUUCAACCUUCAUCACCAUCACUGCUUGGCAUAUUAUAUGUGUUUGUGUGUUGUCUGCCUCCCUGCCUAAAAAAGGAGCCCCAUGACAGGCCAUAGUGUGAACCACCACUGUUUGCUAGGCACUUAGAACAGUACCUGGCUCAUCAAAGAUGUUCAGUACAUCUGUUGAAGCAAUGCAGUGCUGGGAGAAAGCAAAUGCACAGCAGUUGAGGUGUUGCAGAGCAGUGCCUGAUUCUGCCUGAGAGCUCAGUAUUGUCUUUUCAUCUCUAAAAGGGGAAUAGGAAGAAUAGCAUCUAACCCAUAGGUAAUGCAAUGCUUGGAUAUAGCAUAAGCUAUAGCAUAGUUUUGCUCAUCUAUAUGAUGUGGCUUAAAUAUGGAUAUAUAGAUUUGUACCUUAUAUAUAGCUUAAAUAUAGACAAGGAGCAUCGAGUACACAGUGUCUAGUUCAUGGUAAGAAUUCAAUAAAAUAUUAGCUAGUGCUCAUUUAGGCACAGAACAGACUUCACAAAGGAGAUGCCCCUUGAACUAGCUCCUGGUGGAUUACAAGAAGGCAGGGGUUGCAGGCAGAUGAGAGGAGAUAACGAGGCAAGGGCCUGCAUAAGGCAUUCAGGUGACCACUUGCUCCAGUGUGGCUGGGACAAGAAGGAACUGCGGCAACAGCAGAGGGGCAGGGACAAGAAGGAAGAAGGAGCCAGCAGAGGACAGGGAAGGAGUCAGCGGAGGACAGGGCGAGAGGUUUAGUAGGAGACAGAUCUCAAAAGCUUCACAGGGAAAAGGGAAAGACAUCAUCAUCUGAUUCAAAUGACAAGCAGGAAAGCAGCAUAGAUGAUAAAGCACAUCACAGAUUCAGUGAGAACCUACAACUCCCCAAUUUACCUCUUAGAGUCAAACUGCAAAGUUCCUAUAACAAUAUAGUCAACAAGACCUGAAAUGAAGACUUUGUUUUCUUUCAAAUGCAGCAUUAGCAAGAAUUUCAUGAACAUUCCCCUAAGGGAGGCUGAUUCACUCUCUCUAUCCUUCUGUUUGACUCUCUCUGCCUCUUUCUCUCUCUCUCUCCAGCCACAUUGCUUUAUAUAUCCUUGUCUAUAGAUGGGAUGUGUACGUAACACCCUGAAUUUGAUAAUCCACUGUUGGAAUGCCUCCAUUUUAGCUUUUUAGCUUAAAACAAUCCAAAUCUAAAACUCAACAGGAAAAAUCUAGUGUUAUUUUUAAAGGCAAGAUAUCCAGGUGAAGACCAGAGAAAUUUAUAUUCAGGACCUUAACACAAAGAAAGCAGCAGCAUUCGUAUCCCACGUUACAAUGUCCACUUUCUGUUGUUGAGCGGGUAAAGCCUGCAUGAUCAGCUACAGAAAGCUUGUUCUGACAUCUGGGAAGUGAAGACGGCCUCAGAGGCUCCAGGCAGGAGAAACAUACAGUCUGAUUGCUUCCCUAACCUAAACAGUCUCCUCAAAUACAAAUCCAUUGUCUGAAAGAGUUUCCCAUAUGGGAAAUAAAGACAAAAAGAUAAACUGGACUUUAGCCCCAUACUGACAUUCUCAGGGUUUUUCUAUCAAAAUAAAACCUUAAGAAGAGCAAGACAAAAUCCUAUGCAAAACUUAUAUUCAUUCAGUGUCGCCAUUUAUCCGAAUAUUCUUCACAUUGUUGUCCCUGGUAUCCUGUUAUGAAGAGACUAUAGUCAUGGGUUCAUUCCCAGUGCCUGCCCUUCAGAAGUUCACCCACUUCAGAUACAGGCUGUGAUCAUCUUCCUUUUUCUGAAUGUAUGUCUCUCACCACAUCAUUUUGCUGCCCUAAAAUAGAGGUUCCAGAUUCCUGUAUCAAUUCCAGUAUUGAGCACAAUUUCUGAAAGCAGGCAAUCAAAUAUGAGCUUCUUGAACACAUGACUGGAUGGAUGGAUGGAUGGAUGGAUGGAUGGAUGGAUGGAUGGAUUUAUUGAGAGAUCAGAGAUCUACACUUAGGAUUAAAGAAGAAGUAAAUGCUUUUACAGUUUUUUACUUUUGUUUUGGCUUGGUUUGGUUUUUUCUAAAGUAGGUGCAGGUGGCAUCAAAGGACUAGUUUUUUUUUCCUCCAAAAACUAAGUUCCACAGCCAAGAAGGAGCCAAUGACAGGCCACAUUGCCUUGCAGUAGAUAGAAGUAUUUAUUGGCCUUCUCUCCCCGCUUUCAGAAAAUGAAUGAGAUAUUUACCUCUAACUUUUCAAGAAAUGUCUAGAGGUUGUUUGCAAGUCUAGUCAUCCAAAGAGUUCCAUUAAUCUCCAUUAGCUGACAUCAUCAGACACAGUUUCUUCCCAUUUCACAAGAAUCCCGGUUAAGCACCACCACUCACUUCCACACUUGAAUUUAGGCAGAAGGACCAAGAGCAUAUGAAAACCUUCCUUUCAUGAGACAGGAGAGGCAUUCAAGCACAUUCGGAAGCUCCUUUCAAAUAUCAAGCGUGCAAGAGGCAUCAAGAUUUCCUAAAACUCGUUGAAACAGAAACAUCGUAAGAACUUAACAAUUAUUAGGAAUUUAUAUUUAGACGACUUCAAGAACAGAUCCUAAGGCAAUUCCCCAACUUGAUGUCUUUCUCUUGCACUCACUUCAGGCUUUUCUCAAACAUGGGAUUCUUUACAGGAAAAUGUGUCUGGAGAUUAUUCCUUUUCAUAUUUCCCUAUGACAAUGUGACCUUCAGUGAAUAGUGUGAAAAGUCAACCUCAUUCAUGUAUUCAGAGCAUUUAUAAACAUUGUAUUUGUUCCGGUUAUAGAACACAUUUCAUCAGAGAAAAAUUGGGCUAACUUACCUGAGCCUCAAUCUUUUAUUCAGAGAUCAGGCUCACUUAUAUGUCGAUCUAACACUCAUGUUGGCUCAAUAUAAACAUUUGGUGCCAGCUUGAAGUAAUUGUAUCACUAAUUACUAUUGAAUUAUAGUGGAAAUCAUAUAGAAGUACUUUUAACAUUCAGACUAGGACAAGAAUGAGUCCAUGUGAUUAAUGUUAUUAACGUAACAUUCAGCUCGGUAAUAUACCAUAAUGAUCCGGCUAUUAUAUUAAAGUGUUACUAAAUAUUCACUUAGUGCCAAAAAACACAGUGGGUGUAAGGUUUCUUUGUCGGAUUUGGAAUUUAAACAGCACUCUUUGUCACAGUUAAGCUUGGUAUAAAGCCCUAACAAACAAAAUCUGCCUACUACAGGAAUGUUUACAAAGGCACAGAAAAUGCCCACAGAAGGAAUCAGUUUAUCAUAAACAAUACAAAUAUUUACUUGAUUAUUUAAUGGGUGCCCAGCAUGUCUGUCCUUAAUGUAGCAUUAGUUGACAUCAGGAACACACCAUAUGUGCAAAUAAUUAAUUCAAAUUAUGCCUUUCUUCCACUGAGUUCUCUUAUAAGGAGCAGAAUUAAUGUCGAGGCAUAUUCAGGAGCAGGGAGUUGUAGGCCCCUCUCCAUGACUGCCUUUAUGAGUACCUAGUUUUUAAUACUUCAUCCUCAUUGUCAUUCCGCUGCCAAGAGCUGAUGGCAUUUGAAAUGCUCCUACCGUGUUCCUUAUGUAAUCAGUAGGAUGACUAACAUAGCGAUUAAAAACCUGACUAGGCUAAAGAUUUUCCUAUGAGAUUAAGCUUGCCCAAAAUCACCCAAAUAAGUCCACCCAUUUUAACAACUGCCACAACUGCAAAAUCAACAGCUAGCAACUAUCCACUGUGGAUGAUCCAGCAUUCCUAGCUCACAGGAAUGGAAAGAGAAGCCAGCCAUUCCAAUGACUCUAAAGUGUUUUCAGUUAAGAUGCUUGAGGCUUAUUCAUAAUAAAGACGUUCAAACCAUAUAAAGGGAUUUUCUGUGGGCAAUUAUGCCGACCCUUUUCUCUAUGAAUUAAUACAUGGCAAACAUUGGUUUGUAUGACAUUUCGGAUGAGAAAACCCUUAGCAGAAAUGAGGUGCAGACACAAAGUGCUACGUUUAAAGGUGCAAGCACUGAAACCUUAUCUUCCUGUCAAGCUGCUUCCAGGGAGGUUGCCCUGGGCCCACCUCCAAUCUUGCAAGAGGCAAAGGUCUUGCACUUCUCCUCGCCUCUCAUGACAUCAUGUUCUUACGCAGUUUUUCUCUAGUUCCUCAGGUUAGUAAU